UACGAGGGGGGCAAGCGUUGUUCGGAAUUAUUGGGCGUAAAGGGCGCGUAGGCGGUGCGGUAAGUCACCUGUGAAAUCUCCGGGCUCAACUCGGAGCCUGCAGGCGAAACUGCCGUGCUUGAGUGUGGGAGAGGUAAGCGGAAUUCCUGGUGUAGCGGUGAAAUGCGUAGAUAUCAGGAGGAACACCUGUGGUGUAGACAGCUUACUGGACCACUUCUGACGCUGAGGCACGAAAGCGUGGGUAGCAAACAGG
rnacentral:rRNA from 1 species